AGACAAUGUCUUACACACAAGAAGAUUCUUUACUUCGUUAUAUCAACAUCCAGCUCACAUUCUUCUGCAGGGAAGUGCUGUUGCCUUGACUCAAGUGUUCUGGGAGCCUACCACCCCUUUUGUUCCUCUUUGGAAGGUUAUUCCUUCACAGAGUGCUUAGAGACUGCAAAGUAAUGUCAGAGGCUUAAGCCAAAGGGAUCAACAGCUCCUUUCAAUACCCUACAAAAGGUUCGGUUUGGUCUUGGUUUAUGUUCAUCAUGGAACAGGUAACUUCAUGUUUACUUGAACAAUG